rnacentral:rRNA from 1 species
AUACGGAGGGUGCAAGCGUUAAUCGGAAUUACUGGGCGUAAAGCGCGCGUAGGCGGAUAUUUAAGUCUCAUGUGAAAGCCCUGGGCUCAACCUGGGAACUGCAUGGGAUACUGGGUAUCUAGAAUACAGUAGAGGGUAGUGGAAUUUCAGGUGUAGCGGUGAAAUGCGUAGAGAUCUGAAGGAACAUCAGUGGUGAAGGCGACUACCUGGACUGAUAUUGACGCUGAGGUGCGAAAGCGUGGGGAGCAAACGGGAUUAGAUACCCUAGUAGUCC